CUGUAGGCUGGCGUCAUUCCCUCCGGUUCCGGUUUGGUUUCUCUGUGUAGCCCAUCCUCCCGGUGUGUGGCGGAAGUUCCUUUCUUCCGUGUUGCUUUUGGGGCGUCUCCGAAGUGCUUCUUAAGCUUCGAGAAAAAAGGAAUCUCUGACAGUUCCUCUGACAGGCAUGUACCCUGAUAGCGUAUUCAUCUGGGUAUUGUGAACAGUGUCGCCUGAAGAGUUCUUUCAGAGCUCGUGCGACCUGUAAUCAAAAGUACCCCAGAAAAAAAUUCUGGACUCACUGAUCGAUUAUUCAAAAAGACAAAACUUACUGGAGGAGCGCAGGCAUCACGAGAGAUGUAUACAAGAGCCUUCAUAUGUGUGAAGUUUGGCAAACAUGAUCUAUUUCAAAAGCACUGUAAGGGUUUGGAUGUGAAAUGUCUUCCAAAAAGCGUAUAUGUUUGCUGAAGACUUUGUCCCCAAUUGUUGAUACUAUGGAAUACUAUGGAGGAGAGAAACAUGACGGCUUGUCUUGUUAGCUUGCUGGGAUUCGGAAUCGUUGCAGAAGCAGACCUCUGAGCAUGCCUGCCCGUGUGUUUACAGAAAGCAUUAAUUUCCAGAGAGGGGAGAAUGGAAGGUUUCGAUAUAAAGAGGUCAGAAGAAAAGGCCUUGUCACCUGCCUCUCACUUCUUCCUGCGUGGAUGCCUGCGUCACCGAGGCUGUCUGUCAUCAGACUCAGGAUGCUCUUGGCCCUGCAACAGGAACUGAAUGGUGUGGUUCUCCAGGGAGCUUCCUGGCCAGACUGCGGCUGCAGCCUCCAGCUUUGUGGCCCGAGCGGUUACUGAGUCCUCUUCCUCUUCUGUGCAGACAGCUGUUGGUACAUGACCCGCCCCCACCCCCCAACUUCUGUCCUUUGCCAAUCAAAUAACUUUCUUACUGUUCUAUUGCUGUGAAGAGAUACCAUGACCACGGCAACUCUUAGAAAGGAAAGCAUUUAACUGGGGGCUUGCUUAUAGUUUCAGAGAGUUAGUCCGUUAUCAUCACAGGGGGGAGCAUGGCAGCAAGCAGGCAUGGUGCUGGAGAAGAAGCUGAAAACUACAUCCUGAUCCUUAGGUACAGAGAGAGAGGGAGAGACCAGGCCUUGUGUGGGCCUUUGAAACCUCAAAGCCCACCCCCAGUGACUCACUUUCUCAGACAAGACCACACCUCCUAAUCAUUCUGUUGCUUUCAGACAGUUCCACUCCCCGGUGACUAUAUGAGCCUCUGGGGGCGUUCUUUUUGAAACUACUACUCUACACAUUAUGUAUUUUCCUUUGAAUCUAUUUCUCUACAUAACCCUCCCUAACACAAGAAAUUAUGCCAUGUGGAGAUGGCGGCACUGCAAGAGGUGGGAGUGUUUUGGAGGGUGCAGGACAGAUGGGGGAGUGGUUCCGCCUUCCUGACUGCUGCUUUCUUCCCAGUAUAUCACACUGCCGUUCUGGAUUCUAGCUUGCUGACCCCUACUUAGCGCCCUGGUACACAGUGCUGUGAGUCACCUACACAGAAUUCUGAAGUAAAAACCACAAACAAACAGAAAGCAGAGUUCUGAAGUUCUUUUCAGUAUAAUGUGCCAGAUAAUAUCAGCAAUUAUGUACCAAAAUAACCCAAAUUAUAAUUUUUUUGCCUGUCAUGUCACACAUCUCUCUUUGUAGACAUCCUUUUUGAUGAAGUCACUUGUUUUGUAGCCCAGGCUGACUUCCAACAGGCAAUCCUACUGGUUCAACCUUCCGAGUGCUAGUGUUGUAAUGGCAUAUUACCAGGCUCAGCUACACGGAGUAUCUCUUUAUCUCUCUGAAGUAACGUCCGUGAUUGUCAGCAAUCUAAUGUCUUAAAACUCAGCCUGUAAAGUGGUUUCCCAUAUGCCUAGAAUGUGCACUUCACGAACUUUUUUCAUUACCAAAUUAAUUUGCCCGUGUCCGUUAAAAGAAGGGUACGGGUGCUGGAAUUUAGCUUAACUGGGUUACUGCUUGCCUCGUAUGCGAAAAGCCCUAGUUUUAGCCCCCCCAGUACUUCAUAAAGCAAGAUGUGCUGGCACAUAGCUGUAAUUCCAGUACUGGCAAGAUGGGAGCAGGAGGAUCAAUUCAAGGAUACCGUUGGGUACGUACUAAGUUUGAGGCUAGCCUGGACGACAAUAGCCUUUGUCUCAUUAAAUAAGUAAAUAAAUAAAUGGUUGGAUUUAUAA